UGGGGAAUAUUGCACAAUGGGCGCAAGCCUGAUGCAGCCAUGCCGCGUGUAUGAAGAAGGCCUUCGGGUUGUAAAGUACUUUCAGCGAGGAGGAAGGCAGUCGUGUUAAUAGCACGACUGAUUGACGUUACUCGCAGAAGAAGCACCGGCUAACUCCGUGCCAGCAGCCGCGGUAAUACGGAGGGUGCAAGCGUUAAUCGGAAUUACUGGGCGUAAAGCGCACGCAGGCGGUCUGUCAAGUCGGAUGUGAAAUCCCCGGGCUCAACCCGGGAACUGCAUUCGAAACUGGCAGGCUAGAGUCUUGUAGAGGGGGGUAGAAUUCCAGGUGUAGCGGUGAAAUGCGUAGAGAUCUGGAGGAAUACCGGUGGCGAAGGCGGCCCCCUGGACAAAGACUGACGCUCAGGUGCGAAAGCGUGGGGAGCAAACA
rnacentral:rRNA from 1 species